CCAAGGUCAUUCAGCUGAAUGGUGGCAUAGUUAUCAUUUGUAAUUAGGUCUCCUGGCUCCAAGUCCUCCACCCCGUCACCAUGAUAAUGACCAUUGUCAGCAUCAUCACCAUCAUCGUCAUCAUCAUUACCACAGGCACUGUGAGCUCCCUGUGGGCUGUUUUGCAGCUUUGCCCCUGCCCAGGACCAGGGACCAGCCAGAGCUUCAUAAUUGUCAGCUGAGUGGAAUCCCUUCUUGGGGCAAGUCAGUGAGAAAGACUUUCUCAGGCUGCAGUUGACAACCCUUGGCUGAGGCCCCCACUGUGAGCUGGGCAGGUUGGCCAGGGAAUAAGGAGGAGGAGACUGCUUACUUAGCAUCAGUCAAGGUUGAGGGGCCAUGGGCCAAGGGCUCACAUAAGACCUCCUCCAUCAGGCUCUUCUGAGGAUCAAUGGAACUAUGACGGCAUGUUCAGCACCCUGCCCCAAGGACAAACUCUCUCCUUACUUGCCUCAUUCUGCUCUGAGUCAGAGGAAUGGCCCAAAUGACCUUGGAGCUCUGUGGCGUCAUCGCUUCUUGCAGCCUUCCCUGGAGAGCUGACUCUCAAGCGAGCAUACCCAGCUGGAAGGCGGAAAGAAUUUUAAGCACAAGGAGCCGAGGCCUGCACUUGAGCAAAUGUCUUCUUCAGCCUACAUUUUCUUCCGAACACCCCAAGCAACUAUGGAAACCCAACCUGUGGAGAGUAAAGGGGCUUCAGAAGGGUUUUGUGUGUUUCUCUCCCUGUUGUCUUUGGAGCGCUGCUUCGUGCAUCUCCAGGAGAGUUGAUAACUGAAUCAAUAGCUGUUUUGCUCUAAUUUAUUGAGCUCUAUUGCCUAAACCUAAUUAGCAUGUUUCUGAGCCAUGAAGUGCUCUAAGUCCUGCACUUAGACGGGGAAUCGAUCCUGCAGCUGCCCUGGGC
rnacentral:lncRNA from 1 species